GGUCUUGAAUUCCUGGCCUCAAGGGAUCCUCCUGCUUUGUCCUCCCAAAGUAUGGGAUUACAGGUGUGAGUCACAGUACCCAGCCUUUUUCUAACAAUUUCUUUCAGGGUGAUAUGUUAACAGGAUAUAGGAAAAAGGCUUCACUGUGCAAGACCUCUAAAUACCAAAACAGAGUCGAAACUGUGAAAUCUAUUUCAAUGCAUGAGAGCUCCUGUCGCUCCACAUCCUCAGCAGCACGUGGUGUUCGGUGUUCUGGAUUUUAGACAUUCUAAUAGGACUCAUUAGUUCUAACAGAUUUGUUUGUCAAUUCCUCAAGAUUUUCUACAUCUAAAAUCAUGUCAUCUGCAAAAAGAGCCCAGCUUCCCUGCUGAGGGAAGUGAGGAUAGCGUGCAAGAAGCCCCUGUCCCUGGAGAAAAGGAGAGCGGCUGGUCAAGGACACAGAUGAGGCCAUGCUUUCUGGUGCGAAGAUCCAAAGAAUAUCACGCCGUGAUUCUUCUGCUUCUCUGCAUGAAUCCCAAUCAACCAACCAAUCUCUCUCCUCCUCUCACUCACAGUAUCUUCCUACCAUUACACAGCUGGACCUGGGAUAGUCGGCUGGCCGCAAAGGCCUGGGUCAGCUCAUGAGGCACCCACUCAUGGAGCUUUUUCAUCCUUCCAAUUUGCUUCAAAUGCCAAACGACUGUAGAAUGG
rnacentral:lncRNA from 1 species